GACGAACGCUGGCGGCGUGCCUAAUACAUGCAAGUUGAGCGCUGAAGGUUGGUACUUGUACCAACUGGAUGAGCAGCGAACGGGUGAGUAACGCGUGGGGAAUCUGCCUUUGAGCGGGGGACAACAUUUGGAAACGAAUGCUAAUACCGCAUAAAAACUUUAAACACAAGUUUUAAGUUCGAAAGAUGCAAUUGCAUCACUCAAAGAUGAUCCCGCGUUGUAUUAGCUAGUUGGUGAGGUAAAGGCUCACCAAGGCGAUGAUACAUAGCCGACCUGAGAGGGUGAUCGGCCACAUUGGGACUGGGACACGGCCCAAACUCCUACGGGAGGCAGCAGUAGGGAAUCUUCGGCAAUGGACGAAAGUCUGACCGAGCAACGCCGCGUGAGUGAAGAAGGUUUUCGGAUCGUAAAACUCGGUUGGUAGAGAAGAACGUUGGUGAGAGUGGAAAGCUCAUCAAGUGACGGUAACUACCCAGAAAGGGACGGCUAACUACGUG
rnacentral:rRNA from 1 species